rnacentral:rRNA from 1 species
UACGUAGGGGCCAAGCGUUGUCCGGAUUUAUUGGGCGUAAAGAGCUCGUAGGCGGUUCGGCAAGUCAGCUGUGAAAUCUCCACGCUCAACGUGGAGGGGUCAGCUGAUACUGCUGUGACUUGAGUCCGGUAGGGGAGUGUGGAAUUCCCGGUGUAGCGGUGAAAUGCGCGGAUAUCGGGAGGAACACCAGUAGCGAAGGCGGCACUCUGGGCCGGUACUGACGCUGAGGAGCGAAAGCGUGGGGAGCAAACGGG